rnacentral:lncRNA from 1 species
GCCAGCUCCAGGUGCUGGCCCCGGGGCAGCCCUCCCGCUGGGUAAAGUUGGCCCCGGGGCUGCGGCUGGAGGGCAGUGCGCGAGCUGAGGAGAGCAGGCCGGUGAGUUCCUGGCUGGCCGCGGAGGUGAGCUGGCGGCCGGAGCCGCGGGCGCGCUGCACCACUCGGUGCCCUACUCAGAGUAGCUCUCCCUUCCUCCCCUGGCGAUGACAGCUGAGGACAGCCGGGCUUCCCAGCCAGGCGUCCAACUGCUAAGAAGACAAAUUCUUCUCUGGCUUUUUACCGUCUUGGACUGUUCACAAAACUGCCCCAAGGUUUUGCUUUUCCUCCGUAGUAUACUAGACAUCCGGAACCGAAAAUACACCUUCUUCAUUCAAAAAGACCCCAGCCUGAGCGGUGACCUUCAGGGCUGGGGUGUGCAGAACACCUAGGAUUAUGGGGGUUUUUUGUUUGUUUGUUUGGUUGGUUGGUUUUUUUGUUUUGUUUUUUGUGGGUUUUCUCUUUUUUCUUUCUUCUUUCUUUUUCUUUUUUUCAAUCUUCAGCGGUGCCUCAAAAGAACCCCCCUUUUCUCCCAACCCCCAGAUCUGUAUAUAGACCUGGUAAAUUAAGAUUCCAGGGAAAUAUUUUGCCAUCUGUGCAGAGACACUGUGUGGACUUUAGGUGUUAGGAUGUGGUUUUGGAAUUUUCUGUGCUGUCUUUAACUCUCAGUAGACAUUAAAAUAACAGCUUGGUCUCGGCCAGCAAGUGAGCAAAGGUUAUCCCAGCUACCACAGCACCUGCAGAAGCACAAGUGGAACUCACACAUUUUGCUUCCCGUGUUCUAAAAUGGAUUCUGAGCCAUCCAGAGAAAUCCGCACAGAGGGGAACCUGAGAACAGAGGUGUACAUAUUAAAAAUUACACAGGUGAGCUCCUUUUCACUGAUGAUCCAGAGAGGAUGUGAGUUAAAAUCUUAGAACCGAAAGCACCGAACAGCUCCUACUUCUGCCUGAUUCUCUUGAAAGACCUUGUAGCAUAAUCUAAGGUCAGCAAAUGAAGUUUCUGGCUACCAACAUAAAAGAACUUUAAGAAUCAGUUCCCUGUAGGGAAAAAUAACAUCUCAAAAUAAAAGGAUGGAAAUAGCACACAUUUUUUUAAGCAGAAAAUAUUAUACAGAGGAUCAAGCAACAGAAUAUACUGAAGAAAAAUAAGAUCAAAGCAUUGGACAUAAAAAACAACCUCCAGAAUGACAAUGAUAUUAAAUCAGCUAACAGAAAUGUCACCUCUCACAAAUUCACAAAAUUCAUUUACUGAUUUGAAGAAAAGGAUUUCCAAGAAAAACUAUUUAAAUCUCCUUCCUUUAGAUCAAAAGAUUACUGGAAAGCAACAUGAAUAUCCGGAAAAAAAAAAAUCCAGUGGUCUCUGUGUGGGUCUCUGACAGCAAUUUUUUAAAGAUUUCUGAGAUUGUUUCAAUGUAAUUGUGCAUAUAUUAGCAUUUUGAAAAGGUUCUCCAUAAAACCUUGGAUUAUACAGAAUUGUGUCAUCAUUUGCAGACUAA